ACGGAGGGUGCAAACGUUAAUCGGAAUUACUGGGCGUAAAGCGCACGUAGGCGGAUAGUCAAGUGGGACGUGAAAGCCCUCGGCUCAACCGGGGAAUUGCGUUUCAAACUGGCUGUCUAGAGUGUAGUAGAGGAAAGUGGAAUUUGCUGUGUAGCGGUGAAAUGCGUAGAUAUGGCAAGGAACAUCAGUGGCGAAGGCGGCUUUCUGGACUAACACUGACGCUGAGGUGCGAAAGCGUGGGUAGCGAACAGG
rnacentral:rRNA from 1 species